GGUCCGACUGUGAAGAGGGACUGAGUUCGGGUUGUUCGGCGUCCGCUGUAAAAACCGCCCGGUUGCGGGGCCGGGGCGGGCGGCGGGCGGCGAGCCCUUCCGCUGGAAGGCUGCACGAGCAGCUGAAGCUCCGCAAAGACCCUCUCGCGUUACCGUGGCGUCGCGGGAGCUCUUCUGUCCGGGAGCGGCUCGUGCACCUGCGCGGUGCCCUCCAGACAAAGGCGUCCCAGCCGAGCCCUCGCCGUGAGGGAAAGGGGAUAUUGGUCCUCCUCUGACGUGUCUGGUGACCAGGAUGAGAACGCUGGGGCAUCGUGCUCUCUCGGAGGCCGGCAGGGGCAUUCUGGGAAAACUGGCCGAGGCCACCUAAAGGCUUUGGGAAUAGAUAAGAAAGAGAAUGGCUGACCUCUGGAUUUCCAGGUUUGUGAGAGCCUCGUGAGGUUGAGAAAAGACCAAGUGAUUGGAGCCUCACUGUAAAGAUAAAGGAAGAUUAUUCAACCCUCCAGUGGUACUUGCCAAGAGAUACAGAAGUCUGGAUCUGCAAUGAGGCUGCAAGGUGAUUUCUGAUCAGUGAAGAAUAGAGUUGGAGUUUUAAAAAGGAGGAAUCUAGAUCUUAAAUGCCCCGGGUUCAAACCCAGGUCCCCUGACAUGGAGCAGAAUACUGCAGAAAGCGCCAGUGUGCAGUGGAUCCCCUUCAUAAGGCCCUGCCAGAAAUAUCCCCAGGUUGAAGCAAUUCACAACCCCUCACCUUGCUCUGAAUGCUGUGCAAAGUUGUAGUUUGUGAACAUAUGGGAACCAGCCGUUAAUUCAGGCUUCUCAGAGAUUACAAAGCCUGCAGAGACUGUAAAAUCAGGUAAAAAUUUUGAAAGGAGCACAUUUCCUGGGCAGUUUUUGUAUUCCCAGUUAGAUUCCCAGCAGUCUGAGAAAUAGGUAUGUAAAUUAAAGAAAGUUAUUUAAAAAUUCCAGGGCCAGAAGAUAUUAAUAAAUCUGAUUUUGGUUCUAAAAUGGGCAAAGACUCGAGUCAGCAAAAUUUGAGACCACUUCUAAUUUUAUCUGACCCAUUUGGUUACACGCUGCUUCUUGUGACAAUAUCAGUGCCCCUGGUAUUCUCGAGAACUAGAAAGGUGUAUGGAAAGAAUGCAGGACUCAAAGUCCAGAGACCUGGAUUCAAGGUCAGGUCAGACUGUCCCUUAAAAGCAGAGCAAGCUGGUCCCUUGAGCCUCAUUUUCAUAUGUAAAUUGGAGAUGGCCUGACUAUUGACUUGGUAUUGUUAAUACAAAAACCCACAUGAAAUACUUUGCAAUAUAUAGGGUCUACAACAUAAAAUGCAUUAAUCAAUUGAGGGAGGCAAAAAUUAUAGCUAACAUAAAGACCAUAUGUGAAACAUAUUUUCUAUUUGAUUAUAAGCAAGAAUAGAGUUUUUCUCUCUACCUCCUUUUCUUCCUACCUCUAUUCACUUAACUGACAUUUACUGAGUGCCUAAUAUGUGCCAGACAUUUUAUCAGGUGCUGGGAAUACAGUGGCAAACACAUCAGAUAAGAUACCUUCAAGGGAGCAGGCAAUCAAAGAAUGUGCAAAUAUAUAAAUGAAUAAUUUCUGAGGAUGAGAAGCACUAUGGAGAUAAUGAUUACAAAAGAACUUUUUGAGGAGGAGACACAUAGUCUGCAAUCCGAAUGAUCACAAAGAGUCUCUGGUACAGAAGAAAAAGAAAAAGUGAGAGGAAUAUUCCAGAAAGAGAGAAUAACAACUGCAAAUCCCUAAGACUGAAUUAUCUUGGCAUGUUUAAGCGACAGAAUCAAGGCCCCUGCAGUAGUAGUAUAAUGAAUGAAGAAGAGGGUUUACCAGACAAGUUGGACAGGUAAUACGUGUAGGAAGGGCCUUGGAGAGUGUGGCAAAGAAUUAGAUUUUAUUCUAAAUUCACUGAGAAGCCAUUAGAUAGUUUUAAGCAGGACAAUGACUUAAUCUGAUUUGCAUGGUCGAGAUCUUUGAUAAGAUCAAGUAAAGAGGUAGAGUCUGUUAACAUUGUAACACUGAGUGUUUUUGUUCAGAGAGGCAGCCAAUAUUUGGCUUUAAAAAGAUUCUUCCACUGUGGAGGUUGAUCAACAUCUCAGUCUCAACAUGCUGUAAUUGAGAUUUCUUUCCAGUAGGGUUUCUCUCCAUUUCUUCCCUCUUUCAGAAAUGGUCAUUAAAUGCUUCCAUCUUUGGAACAAAAACCAUGAAUGCAUCUUCGACUCAUCUAAUCCAUCAGCAAAGCCAGAGGUGAUUCCUCACCUUCUUCAUUGGAAGUACCAUGGCCCAAGUCACACUCGGCUCUGCCCAGAUGACUGCAAUGGCCUCCUAGCUGGUCUCCCUGCUUUCGACCUUGUCUUUCUGCAGGCUAUUUUCAACACAGCUGUCAGAAAGAGUCUGAUGAUAUGAUUUCUCUGUCCAAAACCUUCCGUUUGCUCUCUCAUCUCAGAGUCAAAAUCAAGGUCCUCACAAUGUCAUGUAAGACUUGACCCCAUGUAGCCUACUUGCUUCUCUGUCGGCCUUUCAUGCCAAGUUCCUGUUGACUCAGCUUCAGUCACACUGGCCUUCUUGCUGCUCCUUGAACACUUAUGCCUCCUCUACCUCAGGUCUUGGCUCUUCCUGGCCCUUCUGCAUAAAAUGCAUUCUAUAGAUAUCCAUGAGGCUUUCUCAUUUGCCUGUUUCAGGAUUUUACUGAAAUUCCAUCUUCUCAAUAAGGCCAUCCUCAAUCCCACUCUCUAAAAUGGCACCAGUGUCCCCAACACUCCCUUUUUCCCUUCUUGGCGUUAUGCUUUUCCAUAGUACUUACCCACAUCUACCAUACCAUAGAUUUCAGUUAUUUAUCUGGGCCAAACUAAAAUAUACUACUCCAAACUAGAAUAUAAGGUCUGUAAGAGCAAGAUUGUUGGUCUGUUUAUUCAUUGCUGUGUUCCCAAUACCACAUAAC